ACAUCCGUUUAAGGGUUUUCUAGAUUAUUUUAGAUUAUGUUUUUGUUAGUUUUAUUUUUUAAGAUUUAUUUUUAUUAGUUUUAUUUUUUAAGAUUUGUUUUUAUUAGUUUCAUUUUUUAGGAUUUGUUUUUAUUAGUUUUAUUUCUUUAAGAUUUAUAUUUUAAUAUUUGUUUUUAUUAGUUUUAUUUUUUAGGAUUUGUUUUUAUUAGAUUUUUAUUUUAUU
rnacentral:lncRNA from 1 species